rnacentral:rRNA from 1 species
GACAGAGGUCCCGAGCGUUAGGCGGAAUCACUGGGCUUAAAGCGUGUGUAGGCGGAUGCCUAAGUACCUUGUGAAAUCCCACGGCUCACCCGUGGAACUGCUUGGUAUACUGGGUGUCUUGAGCCACUUAGGGGCUACCGGAACAAAUGGUGGAGCGGUGAAAUGCGUAGAUAUCAUUUGGAACGCCACUGGUGAAAACAGGUAGCUGGGAGUGUGCUGACGCUGAGACACGAAAGCCAGGGGAGCAAACGGG